GACGAACGCUGGCGGCGUGCUUAAUACAUGCAAGUCGAGCGGAAGGGCCCUGCGUUUGCUGCGUGGAUGUUUGCCGAAGGGGUGAGUAACACGUGAGUAACCUGUCCCUGUAAUUGGGAUAACUUCUGGGAAAACGGGAGCUUAUCGGGGAGGAGCUUCUGCUGCAUGUUGGGGGUAGGAAAGAUUCGGCGGUGGGGGAUGGUAUCGCUGCUUAUCCGCUUCUUGGGGUGGUAGUGGCUUACCAAGGGUUUGAGGGCUAGCCCGCCUGAGAGGGUGACCGGCGACAAUGGGACUGAGAUACGGACCAGUCUCCUACGGGACGCAGCAGUGGAGAAUAUUGCACAAUGGGCGGAAGCCUGAGGCAGCAGCGCCGGGAGCGUAAUGCCGUCCUUCGGGUUGAAAACCGAUGUCUCCUGUGCCGAAGCGUGAGUGACGGUAAUGAGUCAAGAAGCACCGGCUAACCACGUG
rnacentral:rRNA from 1 species